rnacentral:rRNA from 1 species
UCCGCACUAGUGAUUUGUAGUCAUAUGCUUGUCUCAAAGAUUAAGCCAUGCAUGUCUAAGUACAAGCCUCACUAAGGUGAAACCGCGAAUGGCUCAUUAAAUCACACCUAAUCUACUGGAUAGUAGUCAGUUACUCGGAUACCUGCGGUAAUUCUGCAGCUAAUACGUGCAAACAAGCCUCGACUUUGGAAGAGGCGCUUUUAUUAGAUCAAAACCGAUCGGCUUCGGAA